rnacentral:rRNA from 1 species
AUGCAGGACAGAUCUGAGCUCCACUGCCUCCGUUGCUCUGUUUCCCCCGACCAAAUCUGCCUCUUGCAUUCUGGCACCUCGCCGGCGUGGCUCCAGCAUUGCUCCGGCAACUCAGAUCCAACACGCCGUCGUUGCUUGAGCAUCGGGACGCCAUCAACGGGACGUCUUCCUCCUCCCCUGUCCCGAAGGCAUGAACGAUGCAGCUUCACUGCUACCCUGACGCCAUCAAGGACGGAGAUGAUGGCGGCGGUUCGAUGCGCAGCGAGGAGGCUCGGUGACUCCCUGCUCCAGCGAGCGCAGGUAGAGGAGCGACGCCGGCUCGUGCCAAGGAGGCUCAUGCACUCCCACCACCUCUCCACCGAGAAGCAAAAGAGACCCAGCAGAAGAAGGAGGCGCUGUAUCUCCAGAACAGAGUUCUUUGAGAAAUCAGGCCUACUUUUGUUCUAUUAA